UCUGUGCCCGGCGAGGGCCAUAUAGAUCUUCAGAAACGCCAUAGAGUGUGAGGGGAACGCGUGGCCCUUUAUGCCCUAGGCAACAAAGGACUCAUACUUCACUGAGUGGAAGGUAAAAGAUAGUAUAUGAUUAUUUGAUAAUUUAAUAUUUAUAAUUGAUUAAAUAUUAACAUCUUUUUUUUGUUUGCUGAAAUUUUCACUUGGGAUUCGAGGUACGAGUACUAGCUCUUAUUUAGGAUAAGUAGACAACCGAGAGAUACCGCGACAUGGUAUUAGGUUAGAAGAGGAUCAAGAAGUGGCCUUGAUGUUUCUCGAAGUACACUUAAGCCCACUAGACAGAGUACUAGACAAGCCCGAGGUGAAGGCAGCCUCUGAGACCCAUAAUAAGAACCAUCUUAGUACAGGUCCUGCUCGUCAUACUGAUGGAUCGAGGUCGACCAUCGACCACAGGCUAGAGAGUUGGGUCAUGAGCCUAUAGUCUUUGAGUUAUUCCAUGGAUUGCACAGCAAGACUGAUGGCCAGUUUAUCAACAACAAGUCCUAGCAGAUCGUUGAUGUUGUUGAGACGCGGGCAGCUGCCGCAUCUUAGCCCAGCAAGGUGAUCCUAGAUCGGUUUACAUAUCACAGCUAUUGUCGAGGUCGUCAGUGAGGAGAAAAAGCAGCGCAUAUACGAGUUAGGAUCAGAGGAGCCCACCUUCACCUAACCCCGUAGCUCUGACAGCUCUAGCAACACUACCUCUAAUAGCUUGCAAGAGUCCCUCAAACGCGAGUUACGAGCAUAGUUGGAUCAAGAGUACGGCGCCCGCAUAGCAUAUCUAUAGCGGAUGAUAAGCACAUGGUUCACAUAUUUGGUGUUGGCAUCAUUCCACCACCUGCACCUACUCCUCAAGUCGAUGCCUCUGCGACUGCUACCCCAGAU